GCCCCGAUAGCUCAGUUGGUAGAGCGACUGGCUGUUAACCAGUAGGUCGUCGGUUCGAGUCCGACUCGGGGCG
rnacentral:tRNA from 1 species